UACAGAGGGUGCAAGCGUUAAUCGGAAUUACUGGGCGUAAAGCGUGCGUAGACGGUUAUUUAAGUCAGAUGUGAAAGCCCCGGGCUUAACCUGGGAAUGGCAUUUGAGACUGCAUAGCUAGGGUGCGGAAGAGGGAAGCGGAAUUUCCGGUGUAGCGGUGAAAUGCGUAGAUAUCGGAAGGAACACCAGUGGCGAAAGCGGCUUCCUGGUCCAGCACCGACGUUCAGGCACGAAAGCGUGGGGAGCAAACAGG
rnacentral:rRNA from 1 species